UUCACUUUGGCUCUUUCUAUUUCUAUUUGAAUUACAAACUGUACGAUUGAUGUUUCUUGCCUCUCAUUCUGUAUUUGCAGAUCGCGGAGAUGCUUUGAAGAAUCAAAACUGAUUCUAUUUGUGAUUGGUUUGUGUUGUUGCUUCUUCCUUCUCUCUCUAGGUGAUGCAUUCUUACACAAGAACGGUCAAAUCCUAUUAUGGAGAUUGGGUUGGGCUUUGUUUCCGGAGUCAGGAGAGGAGACGACGACGACGAAUCUAUGAUAUUAAUCCCUAAUUGUUACUCUUCUGGAGAGUACUGUGGUUUUAACAAGAAGAGCAAAGAGUACAGGGUUUCCCCGCAGUUCCUGGAGCUAAACAAGAGGAGGGGGGUAAAGGGCGCUUUUCACUGUCUCCAUAUCAAUGAGAAUGUUAAAGGAUGAUGUUGAGGAUGGUGAAGAAGAGUCAUCUUCUUUUGGGGUUUUAACUAGAAGAGCCAAGGAUCGGUAUUCGUGAAAAGGUUUUUGCCCUUAGUUCAAGGAGCUACAAGAGAAGGGGGGUUAAGGAUGCUUUUCACCGUCUCAUUGUCAUGUUGAACUAGGAUCAUCUCCCUUGACGAGGCUGCAUAAUUACUGCUUGGUGAUGCCCACAAUACAUCAAUAAUGCCAACAAAAGAAAGGCGGCUUUAUGAUGUUACGAAUGCCUUGUCAUCUAUGAAUGAAUCUCGUCGAGAAGACUCAAGACUUAGAUUCACACGAUCUCAGAUCGGAGAUGGUUUGAAGAAUGAAGAAGAUUGAGAUUGCUCAAGGUUUUCUUUCAGCACAAUCCAUUUGUGGAGAUUGAUAUUUUGGUUUUGUUUGUUGCUGCUUCUCUAGAUGGAGGGGAUAUAUAUGGUUUGCAUUAUUACAAAUGAUGAUGCAUUUUGAUCAUCAUCACUUAUUCCGUGUUUGCUUCAAUGGGUGUUGAUCCUUUUCACUGCUUGUAAAUAAGUGUGUUAAAAAUUACUAAGCUGUUAUCA